rnacentral:lncRNA from 1 species
CUGAGCUUCUCACAGCAGCAGCUCCUGCCCUAUGUCAUCCCCUGGCAAACACUUUCACUCCUUUUAUCAUUACUUAUAGAUUUAUUUUCUUCUUUUUUGGUACAGGCAGGUAUAAAUGGAGAAAAAAGAAGAAUCAUGGUUUGUGAGUUGACAUCCAAAAGUGAAGGGAAGGUCAUUGUUUCUAGAGCACUCUCCUCCUGGCAGACUGUGUUUGGGGUUUCUGGGAUCCUGUGGUGAAGAAGGCAGAUUUGACUGCUGGUAUUGCUGCUGGAGUGCAUCUCCUCGAGUCAGUCUGUCCAUCCCUUUGGCCCCUGGUUGGAGCCCUGGUUGUUAUCCCCCUCUGUGUCCCACCCUAACACCACGAGUGGGCUGUGCACUGCAUCUGCUUCAAGUUCAUCUCAAGUCUGGAAAUACUGCACUCUUGGGCCAGCUCUUGCAGAGGGUUCUUGUUGUCAUGUGGAGUUAUAGGAAGGCUCGGAGAAAUAGCCAGGGGCCUGAAUACAGAGCUGCUAGACUUGCCAAAAUGCCUGACUGCUGUGGAGGGGCAGGCUGGUUCAGGCUGACAGAUCCUGAGUGUCCAGACAUCCCUCCCAUCCCAGAGCUGCAGGAGGAGACCCCACAGUCACUAGCCUGAAAAUCAGCUGGUUCUGUGGAGGACAGCCACAACGCCCAGAUCCUGCUCAGGCCACAUACAAAAGGCCUGUGUGUUGCAAGAGAGCUGCAGACCACCCUUGGGGAGUUUGAUGGACAGCUUCCCUGCCUCCUGGCCCCACAGCAUCACCCUGAACUCAUCAUUGCUGCUGGGCCAGAGCCCCUCCAUGAAUUAGCCUGAAACACGAAUGCUUGUUUUCCUCUUGCACUGAAUAAGAAACCGACAAUAUCUAAUUGUCAAUACCCCUCCCCUGAGAGACGUGCAACAGCAUUGCUCCUCAGGGCAUAUUCCCCACUGCUGUAUUUAGAACAGCUUGAAAAGACCAAAUUUAAAAAAAAAAAUUAAAAAAAAUUCAUCUUUCCAAAAGCUCCCCACCCACCAGGACUCCUCUGCCAAAAUGCAGUUUGAAAAGAAAAAAAUGAAAAAGGACGAAUUUUUGCAUUCUGAUGAACGGGAGUUCAAGAUGGAACGUGAACUCCAUAAUUCUUGCAAAUGUUCAAGGAUAAUGGAAAGCCAUGGUGAUGAUGAUGGCAUCAUGCUCAGAGAGGUAUUUGCUGUAGAUGCUUGUGGCAUUGCCUCUUCUUGCUGUUUAUAUUAAAGGUGAAAAUGUCAGUUUUCUUUCAGCAUUUUUCUUUCAGGUUAUCAGUGGAUAUUUUAAAUAAAGCUGCACAUUAGUAAGUCUGCA